CGUUGCCAGGUUGCAGGAGUGGUUUGAUAAUGUGUUCUCUCCCUUGCCAGGCCGGACCAACCUCAUAGUACACAGUAUCGAGACGCCCCCGGGCGUGAAGGUGAGGUCACGACCCUACAGGUUGCCGGAACACAAGAAGGAAGUGGUUCGGAGGGAAUUGCCGUGUAUGUUGGAGUUGGGGGUGAUAGAAGAGUCCAACAGUGCCUGGUGCAGCCCCAUCGUCCUUGUGGCUAAGAAGGAUGGAUCGGUACGGUUCUGCGUGGACUAUCGCAGGGUGAAUGACGUGUCACAGUUAGAUGCCUACCCAAUUCCCCGGGUCAACAAGCUCCUGGACCGGCUAGGCACUGCACGUUUCUUUACGACACUGGAUUUAACCAAGGGCUACUGGCAGAUUCCUCUGUCGCCAGAGUCCAAGGAGAAAACUGCAUUCUCCACCCCGUACGCACCACCUGGGAGGAGCAUGGGCGGGGUCACCGGCAACCCAGGGAAGUGUGCAGUUGGACGGGUGGAGGUACGGUAUUUGGUGUACCACUUGGGGGGCGGGCAGGUGCGCCCUCAGGUGGACAAGACGGCAGCUAUCGCGGCCUGCCCGCGGCCCAAGACAAAAAAUGAGGUGAGGCGGUUCUUGGGGCUGGCGGGGUAUUACACGCGGUUCAUCCCCGACUUCGCGGACCUCACAAGCCCCUUGACUGACCUGACCCGGAAAGGUGCGUCAGAUCCGGUCCAGUGGUCGGAGCAGUGCCAGCAGGCGUUUGAGAAGGAGAUCGGAGCAAGGCAAUAAUCCAUACGGCACAUGUGAGACCAGCCAUCGGUGAAAUGUUAUCCAAGGUAACGUUGCUGCCCACAUUGGAGAAGAAGCCUUGCUGAAUAUCUUACAUGUCAUAAAUUCAGAGACUAUGAUGUAGAUGUUCGACCGUGAAGCAUAACUGGUGUUCGUGUCAUCUCAAUCUCGCAGACCUCUGAGCAGCAACUCGACACAUGACUUGUACGAGCCGU
ensembl:lncRNA